rnacentral:snoRNA from 1 species
UGGGUGUGCUGAGAGCAAUGGCCUUGAAGAACGGCACUUCUCUUUUCAACACGCUCAACAAGAGCGUGGGGUCACUGUGAUGAGGGACAGUCUUCCUCAUGAACAAAUUCCCUACAUGU